UACGUAGGGUGCAAGCGUUAAUCGGAAUUACUGGGCGUAAAGCGUGCGCAGGCGGUUUUGUAAGUCUGUCGUGAAAGCCCCGGGCAACCUGGGAAUUGCGAUGGAGACUGCAAGGCUUGAAUCUGGCAGAGGGGGGUAGAAUUCCACGUGUAGCAGUGAAAUGCGUAGAGAUGUGGAGGAACACCGAUGGCGAAGGCAGCCCCCUGGGUCAAGAUUGACGCUCAUGCACGAAAGCGUGGGGAGCAAACAGG
rnacentral:rRNA from 1 species